rnacentral:rRNA from 1 species
UCGGGAAUUUUGGGCAAUGGGCGAAAGCCUGACCCAGCAACGCCGCGUGAGGGAUGAAGUAUUUCGGUAUGUAAACCUCGAAAGAAUGGGAAGAAUAAAUGACGGUACCAUUUAUAAGCUCCGGCUAACUACGUGCCAGCAGCCGCGGUAAUACGUAGGGAGCAAGCGUUGUUCGGAUUUACUGGGCGUAAAGGGCGCGUAGGCGGCGCGGUAAGUCACUUGUGAAAUCUCUGAGCUUAACUCAGAACGGCCAAGUGAUACUGCUGUGCUAGGGUGCGGAAGAGGCAACCGUAAUUCUUGGUGUAGCGGUGAAAUGCGUAGAUAUCAAGAGGAACACCUGAGGCGAAGGCGGGUUGCUGGGCCGACACUGACGCUGAUGCGCGAAAGCCAGGGGAGCAAACG